rnacentral:rRNA from 1 species
UACGUAGGCAGCGAGCGUUGUUCGGAAUUACUGGGCGUAAAGCGUGCGCAGGCGGUGAUGUAAGACCGAUGUGAAAUCCCCGGGCUUAACCUGGGAACUGCAUUGGUGACUGCAUUGCUGGAGUAUGGCAGAGGGGGGUGGAAUUCCACGUGUAGCAGUGAAAUGCGUAGAGAUGUGGAGGAACACCGAUGGCGAAGGCAGCCCCCUGGGCCAAUACUGACGCUGAGGAGCGAAAGCGUGGGGAGCGAACAGG